UACGUAGGUGGCAAGCGUUGUCCGGAUUUACUGGGCGUAAAGAGCGCGCAGGCGGCUGGUCAAGUCCGAUGUGAAAUCUCCCGGCUCAACUGGGAAACUGCAUCGGAAACUGAUCGGCUUGAAGGUGGGAGAGGGUAGUGGAAUUCCCGGUGUAGUGGUGAAAUGCGUAGAUAUCAGGAGGAACACCUGCGGUGUAGACGGCUUACUGGACCGUAACUGACGCUGAGGCACGAAAGCGUGGGUAGCAAACAGG
rnacentral:rRNA from 1 species